rnacentral:rRNA from 1 species
UACGUAGGGGCAAGCGUUGUCCGGAAUCAUUGGGCGUAAAGAGCGCGUAGGCGGUCCGGUAAGUCCGCUCUGAAAGUCCGGGGCUCAACCCCGGGAGGCGGGCGGAGACUGCCGGGCUAGAGUCCGGAAGAGGCGAGUGGAAUUCCGUGGUGAGCGGUGAAAUGCGCAGAGUAUCAAGGAGGAACACCGGUGGCGAAGGCGGCUCACUGGACUGGUAUUGACGCUGAGGUGCGAAAGCGUGGGGAGCAAACAGG